rnacentral:rRNA from 1 species
UACGUAGGGGGCAAGCGUUAUCCGGAUUUACUGGGUGUAAAGGGAGCGUAGACGGCGAUGCAAGUCUGAAGUGAAAGGCGGGGGCCCAACCCCCGGACUGCUUUGGAAACUGUAUGGCUGGAGUGCAGGAGAGGUAAGUGGAAUUCCUAGUGUAGCGGUAAAAUGCGUAGAUAUUAGGAGGAACACCAGUGGCGAAGGCGGCUUACUGGACUGUAACUGACGUUGAGGCUCGAAAGCGUGGGGAGCAAACAGG